rnacentral:rRNA from 1 species
CAGUCGCCGCGGGAAUACGUAGGGUGCAAGCGUUAAUCGGAAUUACUGGGCGUAAAGCGUGCGCAGGCGGUUAUAUAAGUCAGAUGUGAAAUCCCCGGGCUCAACCUGGGAACUGCAUUUGAGACUGUAUGGCUAGAGUGUGUCAGAGGGGGGGUAGAAUUCCACGUGUAGCAGUGAAAUGCGUAGAUAUGUGGAGGAAUACCGAUGGCGAAGGCAGCCCCCUGGGAUAACACUGACGCUCAUGCACGAAAGCGUGGGGAGCAAACAGGAUUAGAUACCCCAGUAGUCCCUGUCUCUUAUA